rnacentral:rRNA from 1 species
AAUAGAUACCCCGGUAGUCCACGCCGUAAACGGUGGGCACUAGGUGUGGGCGACAUUCCACGUCGUCCGUGCCGCAGCUAACGCAUUAAGUGCCCCGCCUGGGGAGUACGGCCGCAAGGCUAAAACUCAAAGGAAUUGACGGGGGCCCGCACAAGCGGCGGAGCAUGUGGCUUAAUUCGACGCAACGCGAAGAACCUUACCAAGGCUUGACAUACACCGGAAACGUCCAGAGAUGGGCGCCCCCUUGUGGUCGGUGUACAGGUGGUGCAUGGCUGUCAUCAGCUCGUGUCGUGAGAUGUUGGGUUAAGUCCCGCAACGAGCGCAACCCUUGUCCCGUGUUGCCAGCAGGCCCUUGUGGUGCUGGGGACUCACGGGAGACCGCCGGGGUCAACUCGGAGGAAGGUGGGGACGACGUCAAGUCAUCAUGCCCCUUAUGUCUUGGGCUGCACACGUGCUACAAUGGCCGGUACAAUGAGCUGCGAUACCGCGAGGUGGAGCGAAUCUCAAAAAGCCGGUCUCAGUUCGGAUUGGGGUCUG